rnacentral:tRNA from 1 species
AGACUAAGGCCCCACUAUCAACACCCAAAGCUGAAGUUCUGUUUAAACUAUUCCCUG